rnacentral:rRNA from 1 species
GGAAGGGACCACCUUCUGUCAAAAGGAGGGGGUGUUAUAGCCAUGCCGCGUGGAGCUUGCUGGGAGACCGAGGAAAUGCCGUGUCCCGCCUGCCUUCGGCCCUCGUCGUUCGAUCAAAUUGAGUGUACUGCUUGCAGUGCUCUCUAAGCGCGGAUUUGGCGAUCGGCUGGAUGGCACGGGUGCACUCAGGGUCAGUGGCGAAUCGGUCGGCCCUCCACCCGACCCGUCUUGAAACACGGACCAAGGAGUCUAACAUGUGCGCGAGUCAUGGGGUUCUACGAAACCUAAAGGCACAAUGAAAGUGAAGGCAGCCUCGGGUUUUGCCUAGGUAGGAUCCUCUCCUCCGGGGAGAGGUGCACUACCGGCCCGUCUCGUCCGCCAUUGGUCGGUGAGGCGGAGCAAGAGCGUACACGUUGGGACCCGAAAGAUGGUGAACUAUGCCUGAGUAGGACGAAGCCAGAGGAAACUCUGGUGGAGGUCCGUAGCGA